GCCGCUGCAGGUGCCGCAAGGCCGCAGGGGAGGAAAGUCCGGGCUUCACAGGACAGGAUGCCGGAUAACGUCCGGUGGGGGAAACCCUAAGGAAAGUGCAACAGAAAGUAUACCGCCGGCCUUCUCGGCCGGUAAGGGUGAAAUGGCAGUGUAAGAGACUACCGCCUGGCUGGUAACAGACAGGGCAUUGUAAACCCCAUCCGAAGCAAGACCAAACAGGAACGAUACGGUCGUCCGCCGUGUUCCAGGUAGGUCGCUCGAGCCUUCCGGCGACGGGAGGCCUAGAUAGAUGGCCGUUCACGACAGAACCCGGCUUACGC
rnacentral:RNase_P_RNA from 1 species